rnacentral:lncRNA from 1 species
AUCAACUUAGUAAAUAGGGUUCCACUGCGUAGCCAUGAAUUAAGUCCAUCUUGGUCUAGUUAAAGACAUGGACCCACUCAACUACAACUAUUGGAGUUGAGUCUAGAGUAUCCUUGACCUAAUCUAAUUCAACUUUUGAUUAGAUUUGACCAAUUACUCUAAUUUAGUCCAUUUCUUUAAGCUAACCUUAGGUCUAACCCACUUAUGGAUCUAAUCCAUCUAACCCAUUGACCCACAAGUUUAUGCAAUUGUCUUAGGUCUUAAUUCACAAUUCUAGACCUACUAGACAACACUUAAUUCUUUUAAUUAAGUAUUUGGGC